GCAGGGUAAUGCAUUGGUCCGCCAUCAACUCCACUGGCUUCUCCAUUUCCAUACCUUCACGUUCUCUCUCUGUCUCUCUCGCUCUCACACUCCCUCAGUUUCUCUUGUCAAUAUUUGAUGGAAUGUGACUCUUUCCCCUUAAACCUCUAGCCAUGAAUUUCCUGAUUGGAUGAAGUGAGAGCCACGCCCGUGGUGUUGACCAAUUACAGAGAAUGUGUGGUGUCAUGUGAGAUGGAGUUGAUCUGGAGGUGCAGCCAUGUUUGGAAUAGCUCUGAACUGCAGAUUUCAUUAUGAAAGGCACCGCUGGUUCUGCAUUUGUAUCCAUCUGGAAUCCAGGAGAUGAAAUGGAGCAGUGAAGUUCCUCAGUGUCCAAAUCACAAAGGACUUCAAAUGGCCCACUCCCACAUGCACAGUCGGGAAGAAGGCGCAACCUCUACAUCAGGCGGAGUGAAAGGAAGGCCCGGACUCCAGCCACCGAAUAGACUGUUCUUUCUGCUUCCACACGGCAAGUGGUACCAGUGCAACAAGUCUGACACCAACAGGCUCCUGAACAACUUCUAUCCUCAAUCCAUAAGACCCCUAAAUAGCUAACAUAACUUCUACACAGACUGAGUUUACUCUUGUAUUUUAUAUUAUUUAUUUAAUUAAAUGUUUAUCUCUAUGCACACUCACAUGACUCUACACACUCUG